CCCAGUGAUGUCCAAUGAGAAAGACAUGCUGUACCUAUCUGCCCACCUAGAUGCAUCUCUAGUCCAACACCAGCAAGUGGGGAAGAGACUUUUAAUAAAUGUCUGUGCAACGGGAUACAGAAAGCUGAUGGCCUCUUCUCAGUGUGGGUGGACACCAGGAAAUCCUCCUACUCCAACACCAUCUACCCUUCUGAGUGACUGUCACCAUAUUCUUGCAAAAUCCCUUUCAGUUCAUAGCUAGGUGCACCAUGGGUAAGCAAAUUACUCAAGCUGAGCCCCUUGAUUUUUUUUUCUUUUUGUUUAUAAGGCUGUCCUUUGGAAUAUAUAUAUAUAUAUAUAUAUAUUUUUUUUUACACCAAUGAGAGAGGAGGUGGUUCGAUCUUUUUCUGGUGGUAGAAAGAAGUGUGAAAUUUGGAAACUGUUAGCCAGAAUUUCCACUAAGCAAAGAAAGUUAAUCUGUAGGAAAAGCUAAUGAACCCAAUAUGCAGAAAACUGGAGACUACGGAGAGCAAGAGUCCUGACAGCAUGUGGUUGAGAGCCAGAUGAAUGUGUGUUCUUACUGUCAUGCGUUCAAUUCUUCCACCAAUCAUUUAGACCUCCCCCAGUCCCACUCCCAUCACCAUCCCUCUUUUGGUUGAAAGGAGUUUGCUAUGGUUUGCGGCUAGGCUGCAGCUCCAGAAAGUAUAAAUUGUAAACCUUGGUGGCAUCUACAUGGUAUUCAUUCUACAGGCUUGCAGAAAGUGAGAGGUGUGGAGGCUUGGCAGCCUCCAUCCAGAUUCCAAAGGAUUCAAAAGGGGCCUGGCAGAGACUUGUCGCAGGGACAGAGCCACCAUAAAGGGCCCCCACUAGAACAAUGCCCAGCAGAAAUGCGGGCUCAGAGUUGCUGCAGAGACUCCCCACUAGGACAAUGCCUAGUGGAGCCAUGGGAACGGGACUACCACCAGGAUCCUAGAACUAUGGGGUCACCGGCAGGACGCAAAGCCCACCUGGAAAGCUUCUGACACUGAACUCCAACCCCUAUGAGCAACCACGUGGGCUGCAGUCAGCAAGGUCAUAGGGGUGGGGCUGCCUGAGGUCCUUGGGGCCCAACUCCCACCCCAGUGUGCCCACGGAGCAGCACGUGGAGUAUAAGAUGACAGCACAUGGAGUCAAGAUUUAAUGUCUGUCCUCCUGAAUUUCAGCCUUGCUUGGAGUCUGUUACCCCUUUCUUUUGGCUGAUUUCUCCCUUUUAGAAUGAGAAUGUUUACCCAAUGCCUGCACAACCAUUGUUUCUUGAGAAUAAAUAACUUGAUUUUGAUUUUAUAGGCUCAUAGCUGCAAGGAACUUUCCUUGAAUCUCAAAUGAGACAUUGGACUUUGGACUUCUAAAAUGAUGCUGGAAUAAGUUAAGAUUUUUGGGACUGUCGGCUGGGCGUGGUGGCUCACGUCUGUAAUCCCAGCACUUUGGGAGGCCGAGGCGGGCAGAUCACGAGGUCAGGAGAUCAAGACCAUCCUGGCUAACACAGUGAAACCCCGUCUCUACUAAAAAUACAAAAAGAUUAGCCAGGCGUGGCGGCAGGCUCCUGUAGUCCCAGCCACUCGGGAGGCUGAGGCAGGAGAAUGGCGUAAACUCGGGAGGCGGAGCUUGCAGUGAGCGGAGAUCGCCAGUGCACUCCAGCCUGGGCGACAGAGCAAGACUCCGUCUCAAAAAAAAAAAAAAAAAAAAAAAAGAAAGAAGAUUUUUGGGAUUAUUAGAAUGGAAUGAUUGUGUUGCUUCAUGUGAGUAGGACAUGACUUCAUGACUUUUGGGGGACCAGAAGUGGAAUGCCUAAUGGGAUUAGGCAGGGUUGGGAGAUGGGGCCUAAUGGGAUGUGUUUGGGGCGUGAGGACAGAUCCCUCAUGAAUGGCUUAGUGCUGUUCUCGGGGUAGUGAGUGACUUCUGCAAUCGUGAAUUUCUUCCCACAGGACUGGAUUAGUUCCUGCAGGAGUGGUUUGUUAUAAAGCUAGUUUAUAAAGCCCCUCUGUUUCCCCUCUUUCCACGUGUCUGCCUUCGCUUUUUACCUUCUCCACCAUGUUGUAAGACAGCAUGAAAGUCCUCACCAGAAGCCAGGACUAUGCCCUUGGAGUUCCCACUCCACAGAACCAUGAGCUAAGUGAACCUCUUUUCCUUACAAAUCAC
rnacentral:lncRNA from 1 species